UGCAAUAAGUUGGUCUUUUUCUUUCAGAACCUUCUAGAUCUCAGCUUUGGCAAGUUCCUUCUGUUUCUGGGCCUCUUCCUGAGAAAAGGAUAGCA